CUCUUGACAUCCACGGAAUUUAGCAGAGAUGCUUUAGUGCCUUCGGGAACCGUGAGACAGGUGCUGCAUGGCUGUCGUCAGCUCGUGUUGUGAAAUGUUGGGUUAAGUCCCGCAACGAGCGCAACCCUUAUCCUUUGUUGCCAGCGGUUCGGCCGGGAACUCAAAGGAGACUGCCAGUGAUAAACUGGAGGAAGGUGGGGAUGACGUCAAGUCAUCAUGGCCCUUACGAGUAGGGCUACACACGUGCUACAAUGGCGUAUACAAAGAGAAGCGACCUCGCGAGAGCAAGCGGACCUCAUAAAGUACGUCGUAGUCCGGAUUGGAGUCUGCAACUCGACUCCAUGAAGUCGGAAUCGCUAGUAAUCGUGGAUCAGAAUGCUACGGUGAAUACGUUCCCGGGCCUUGUACACACCGCCCGUCACACCAUGGGAGUGGGUUGCAAAAGAAGUAGGUAGCUUAACCUUCGGGAGGGCGCUUACCACUUUGUGAUUCAUGACUGGGGUGAAGUCGUAACAAGGUAAGCGUAGAUGA
rnacentral:rRNA from 1 species